rnacentral:rRNA from 1 species
GACGAACGCUGGCGGCGUGCUUAACACAUGCAAGUCGAACGGAAAGGCCUCUUUCGGGGGGUACUCGGGUGGCGAACGGGUGAGUAACACGUGAGUAACCUGCCCUUGACUUUGGGAUAACUUCAGGAAACUGGGGCUAAUACCGGAUAGGAGCUCCUGCUGCAUGGUGGGGGUUGGAAAGUUUCGGCGGUUGGGGAUGGACUCGCGGCUUAUCAGCUUGUUGGUGGGGUAGUGGCUUACCAAGGCUUUGACGGGUAGCCGGCCUGAGAGGGUGACCGGCCACAUUGGGACUGAGAUACGGCCCAGACUCCUACGGGGGGCAGCAGUGGGGAAUAUUGCACAAUGGGUGGAAGCCUGAUGCAGCAACGCCGUGGGCGGGAUGACGGCCUUCGGGUUGUAAACCGCUUUCGCUCAUGACGAAGCUUUGUGUGACGGUAGUGGGUAAAGAAGCACCGGCUAACUACGUG